AGAUUGAACGCUGGCGGCAUGCCUAACACAUGCGAGUCGAACGGGAGUAGCAAUACUCUAGUGGCGGACGGGUGAGGAAUGCGUAGGAAUUUGCCCUUAAGUGGGGGAUAACCCGGGGAAACCCGGAUUAAUACCGCAUGACCUCGAAAGAGCAAAGUGGGGGAUCGCAAGACCUCACGCUUUUGGAGAAGCCUACGUCGGAUUAGCUAGUUGGUGAGGUAAUGGCUCACCAAGGCGACGAUCCGUAACUGGUCUGAGAGGAUGAUCAGUCACACCGGAACUGAGACACGGUCCGGACUCCGUACGGGAGGCAGCAGGUGGGGAAUAGUUGGACAAGUGGGCGCAAGCCUGAUCCAGCAAUGCCGCGUGUGUGAAGAAGCCGUUAGGUUGUAAAGCUAACGUUUAAGGUUAGGG
rnacentral:rRNA from 1 species